UACGUAGGGGGCGAGCGUUGUCCGGAUUUAUUGGGCGUAAAGAGCUCGUAGGCGGCUUAGUAAGUCGGGUGUGAAACUCCAGGCUCAACCUGGAGACGCCACUCGAGACUGCUAUGGCUAGAGUCCGGUAGGGGACCACGGAAUUCCUGGUGUAGCGGUGAAAUGCGCAGAUAUCAGGAGGAACACCGGUGGCGAAGGCGGUGGUCUGGGGCCGGCACUGACGCUGAGGAGCGAAAGCGUGGGGAGCAAACAGG
rnacentral:rRNA from 1 species